GCCCUCGUAGUUCAAGGGAUAGAACGCGAGCUUGCGGAGCUUGUGAUAGAGGUUCGAGUCCUCUCGAGGGCA
rnacentral:tRNA from 8 species